AUGCCAAACGGUUGUUGUCAACGAUUCCCCUCAAAGGGGUGUUUUGAUCGUAAACUUAGGGGGUUCGAGGAGGACACGAUGACAAAGUUCAUCGUUUGGACGAAAGACAAAGCUUUUGGUGUGGACGACCCCAAACCCUUAUCUAAAAAAAUUAAGUGGAAACUCCAGUAUGUUCCUUUUGACGGGAUUCCCUUCAUGGUGGUUGGGAGGAGGGUCUACUCCUGUCACCAAGGGGUAGACAAGCACAAACAUGAAAAACUGACAAGACAGCUACAACUGCUUGAUGACCACUCAGACCAUUGUUAUGAAGAGAGGCGACGUCUUCAAGACUCGAAGAAAUUGGACUGUCCAGCCAGAAUAUAUGUGGUUCAUCUAAUCAGAUUCCCUGAUUACAAGAUACCUGAUGACAUUCAUAAACAGAGGAAGGAGAGCGCUGGGUGUCUGAGACAUGCCUUAACAAAAAACCCAUCAGCAGUGAAGCUUGAGGAGCAAUAUGUUGCCUGCUUCCCAGCGAUCGAGGAGCACCAAAACCAUCCUGUGGUAGGAGAGGUUCGUGAGCCAGUGGACACUAGCAGCACCCCUCCCAGUGACCACAUCAUUCUUCACAAAGACACCAGCAAUCCUCCCAGAAACUCCAGCAAGACAAAGAAAAGGCAAAGGUGUGAGAGCUUACUGCGUGAAAUUUCAGAUCUCACUUACCAUCUACAGGAUGAGCCAUUUCUGGACUCCUUGACCUUUCGACUGAAUGACCUUUUGGAGGAUGUGAGGCGUCAUACCCCUCACGAUGACACCCUUCCCUUGUCUUACACACCUCCAUCUAAAAAAAACAGAUACCUCAAAACCCUCAGCAUAAUCCCCGAAAAACAUCCAUCCUCUGGAAAGUUUGGCCAUUGUGCUGAAGCAGUGAAAGCAAGCUCCAAGCCUUAA
ensembl:lncRNA